rnacentral:rRNA from 1 species
GCAAGUCGAGGGGUAACAGGAAAGCUUGCUUUCGCUGACGACCGGCGCACGGGUGCGUAACGCGUAUGCAACCUACCUCAUACUGGAGGAUAGCCCCUGGAAACGGGGAUUAAUACUCCAUAGUAUCACGAAUUCGCAUGUUUUUGUGAUUAAAGUUUUUCGGUAUGAGAUGGGCAUGCGUCCCAUUAGCUAGUUGGUGAGGUAACGGCUCACCAAGACGAUGAUGCUUAGGGGGUCUGAGAGGAUAGUC